rnacentral:piRNA from 1 species
UGCCAUUCUUAGCAUGUCAGCUCAUGCUCA